UACGUAGGGUGCGAGCGUUGUCCGGAAUUAUUGGGCGUAAAGAGCUCGUAGGCGGUCUGUCGCGUCGAUCGUGAAAACUUGGGGCUUAACCCUGAGCUUGCGGUCGAUACGGGCAUGACUGGAGUUCGGCAGGGGAGACUGGAAUUCCUGGUGUAGCGGUGAAAUGCGCAGAUAUCAGGAGGAACACCGGUGGCGAAGGCGGGUCUCUGGGCCGAUACUGACGCUGAGGCACGAAGGCCAGGGGAGCAAACGGG
rnacentral:rRNA from 1 species